CCUACGGGUGGCUGCAGUGAGGAAUAUUGGUCAAUGGGCGCAAGCCUGAACCAGCCAAGUCGCGUGAGGGAAGACGGCCCUACGGGUUGUAAACCUCUUUUGCCGGGGAGCAAGCCUGAGCACGUGUGCCCAGGCGGAGAGUACCCGGAGAAAAAGCAUCGGCUAACUCCGUGCCAGCGGCCGCGGUAAUACGGAGGAUGCGAGCGUUAUCCGGAUUUAUUGGGUUUAAAGGGUGCGUAGGCGGAAUGCCAAGUCAGCGGUAAAAUCGCGGGGCUCAACCUCGCUCCGCCGUUGAAACUGGCGUUCUUGAGUGGGCGAGAAGUAUGCGGAAUGCGUGGUGUAGCGGUGAAAUGCAUAGAUAUCACGCAGAACUCCGAUUGCGAAGGCAGCAUACCGGCGCCCAACUGACGCUGAAGCACGAAAGCGUGGGUAUCGAACAGGAUUAGAUACCCGUGUAGUC
rnacentral:rRNA from 1 species